UAGUAUACGCAGCUAGCAAUUAUGGCUAGAUGCAGCAGUACUGCCAUGUAUUCAACAAAUGGAAAUUCACGAAGAAAAGGCUAUACCAAUGAGCAAAGAGGAGGAAAAAAAAAAAAAGAGAAGCUUACAUGGAAUACACAUCACAUGACCAUAAAUAAUCAGAUCGUAGAGAGAGAGAGAGAGAGAGGGAUAUUGGGCAUGAUCUUUUCGGUAGACUCAGAUUAUUUCUCCUUUCUUGAUCUUUAUGUGUGAACCUUAUGCAACACCGAAACCAUGCAUGCAGAAUGGUCCCCUCCUUAUAUACAUCCUUUCUGCUCUGCCUCAUGGUUUAUGGUUUGAUGCAGAAUGUUAAGGGUCCCCCACACUCUCAACCCCAGGCCCGCUCUAAAAGAUAAUUAAAUGCUGCUUCAAAUAUAUAUAGAAACACUGAUCACUAAGCUGUCUGCAAACUGCAUGGUGUAAUCUUGGCGUGACAAUAUUCAAUUUGCAUCACUUGCAUGGGGACCACUAAUUGCAUCGUUUAUGUUUGUUUUUAACCUGUAAUUUAUUCUUCAGUCCCCAAAUAAUAGCAUAUUUCCCAUUCUUUUCCCUCAAAUUCCCAUUCCCCUCCUCACUCUUCUAUUUAUACACCUCUUUAUCAUCUUCUCCAUCAAACCCUAGCAGAACCAGCAGCAGUGGUGCCAAAACAGGUCGAUCUCUACCUAAUUUCUAUAGCUCACCAGUGCACAUUUUCUUAUCACGUGCUCCACCAUCAGUUGAAGCUGCCAGCAUGAUCUUAACCUUUCUCCUUUGCUGAGGAGCGAUCAGAUCAUGCCGUAGUUUCACCUGUUGUUGGCCGCACCAUGCCAGAAACCCUAAUCCCUAGAAAAAUGUAUAUAUAUAUAGUGCUCUUCUUGUCCAUGAUUUGAAAUAAUCCAGGUUUUCUCGGGGUUUUCCAGUUUCAUUAAUUGUACAAGUACCUGUACAACCGGUUUGGGUAUUGGUUGUUGUGCUUAUUUUUUUUAUUAUGUGAGAUUUGCAAGGAAAAUGUUUAGUGCUUCUUGUUAGGGUUUUCAGCGACAAAAAUUUCCUGGUUGGGUUUGCUAGGGUUUUGACUGACAAGAGUUUCUGCGUCUCCUCCCUCCUAAUUAGAUGGUUAAUUUGUAGACACUCCUAGUGCUUUGGUGAUUGAACAUGUAUAGCUGGAUGCCGCGCCAAGCAUAUGUUAUUUCAGCUGCUAGCUUAUCAUGAGUCAAGCUAGGGUUCCUAUGAAGUGGGUUUUUCUUGCCAGAGAGACAGAGAUCUUAAAAUCCUGCACCUUUGGAGACUCGGAUUUGUUCUUCUCUCAGGUAACUUCGUUAAGGUGUUCCAUUUUGAAAUCCUAUAAUUGAUUUAUCAAAAUCCACGGAUCCACAGAGAGAGAGAGAUUUGAUCAUGGGUAUAUAGGUUCUCCGUACAAACUGAUUGCUAGAUAGCGUCAAUCAUAAUUAUACCCAUAUAUCUUUCUAUGCUUCUUCAACUUGCAUCUUGAGAUAUAGGGUAUAUUUGCUAUAUAUCAUGACUUAUCAGUGGGAUGGUAAAUUUGUCUCGUAUGAAAGAUUCUUCUUAGUUAAGCAGCCUCUUAUACCGAGCCGAUUCCUUGGGAUAUCUAUUCUAUUUGGCUCAGGUUUAGAUGGUAACACAUAACCGUAGUGUGAUUUGACAAUUUUCCUAUUCAGUUCCGGUUUCAUGCUCUUUGACAAAUAUAUUUCCCUCAACCUGAUCAUCAUAGAAAAUAAUAAGAAUAUAUAAGAAGUUGAUGAUGCUGGUAAUGAAUAAACCACCACUCAUGAUUUUAAGUAAUGCUUAACAUUAGUUUAUUUGUUUAGUUUUGUUCUUGCUGGUGCCUAAUUUUGGUUUGGAGCUGAAUGCAAGUCAAUUUUAAAUCCAAUGUAGAUGCGCACGUACACACACUCACACAUAUGAUCAACAGCCAUUUGAAGUGCUUUCUCAGUCUGGAGAGCCAUAUUCUAUACAUGCAUGGGAACAAUUUGAUUUGAGCUUCAGGCCGUACUAUCCCUCUGAUCGUCAGUCCUCCAAAUGAAAAUUAUCCUCUAGAAAUAUUUAAGUUGUUAAGCUAAUUAAUCAGAAAACUUGCAAAUCCAUUUGGCUAAGCCAAAGCUCUAAGUCAGUUUUUUGAAGAGAAAUUAAAGGUAGCUUUCUAGAUUCUAUUUUGCUCUGAAACCUGUCGCUAUUUUCUUAAGUUAUUUGGAAAACAUGAUUACGACUGAUGUAAUUUUCUGACUAUAGCAUGUGAAAUCUUUCAGUUUUCCA